rnacentral:tRNA from 1 species
CAAAGCGUAGCUUAUAUCAAAGCACCUGGCCUACACCCAGAAGAUUCCACAUAAACUGGCCGCUUUGA